rnacentral:lncRNA from 1 species
CCCUCGCCGUCCAUUGGAACCUCUCCGACAACGCCGGGAGGAGGUGGAGGCUACACGCCGACGCCGAGCGACACGCCACCCUCUCCGUCCAGUGACACCUCGCCGAGCACUCCGGGUGGCGGCUGCUCGUCCUCACCCACGCCGUGCGACGCACCGCCCUCACCGUCCAGUGACACGUCCCCGACAACGCCGGGGGGAGGUGGAGGCUACUCGCCGACACCGAGUGACACUCCGCCCUCGCCGUCCAGUGACACCUCUCCGACAACGCCGGGUGGAGGUGGAGGCUACACGCCGACGCCGAGCGACGCGCCGCCCUCGCCUUCUAGUGACACCUCUCCGACAACGCCAGGUGGAGGUGGAGGCUACACGCCGACGCCGAGCGACGCGCCGCCUUCGCCGUCCAGUGACACCUCUCCGACAACGCCGGGUGGAGGUGGAGGCUACACGCCGACGCCGAGCGACACGCCGCCCUCGCCGUCCAGUGGCAGCUCCCCGACAACGCCGGGUGGAGGUGGAGGCUACACGCCGACACCGAGCGACACGCCGCCCUCGCCGUCCAGUGGCAGCUCUCGCACUACACCGGGUGGAUGCUCCACUCCCACGCCGUGCGGCACGCCGCCCGCGCCGUCGAGUGGCACCUCUCCGACCACACCGGGUGGAAGCUACUACCCGCCCACGCCGUCCAUUGGCGACGUGCCACCCUCGCCGUCCAGCGACACCUCUCCGACCACACCGGGCGGAGGCUCCCCGUCCACGCCAUGCGACACGCCGCCCUCGCCGUCCAGUGGCACGUCCCCGACCACGCCAGGUGGAGGCUACUACCCGCCCACGCCAUCCGUCGGCGACGUGCCUCCCUCGCCGGCCAGUGGCACCUCCCCAUCCACGCCAGGUAGUGGAGGCUACUCUCCGUCCACGCCAUGCAGUGCGCCGCCGUCGCCUUCAAGUGGCACCUCCCCAACCACGCCGGGUGGAGGCUAUUCUCCUUCCACGCCGUGCAAUGCGCCGCCCUCCCCUUCAAGUGACACCUCCCCGACAACACCUGGUGGCGGCAACUACCCGCCCGCGCCCACCAUUGGCAACGUCCCGCCAUCGCCAUCCAGCGGCACCUCCCCGAGCACACCGGGUGGUGGCUGCUCAUCCUCACCCACGCCAUGCGACGCGCCGCCCUCGCCAUCCAGUGACACUUCCCCGACAACACCGGGUGGAGGGUACUACCCGCCCACGCCGUCCAUCGGCACCUCGCCAUCCACACCGGGCACCGGCGGAGGCUACUACCCUCCCUCCCCUUCCACCGGCGGCUACACGCCGACUCCGGACGUUCCGAUCAGCACCCCGUCGAGCCCCUACUCCCCGCUGG